ACAGAGUCCAAAAUGGUCGUGUUUUUACUUUGUAUUCUACUCUCCACUAUCUUGAUAGAUUAUUUGGCCUCUUGUUGCUGCCUAUUUGGUAAAUAUGGUAUUUUCAUUGUUUGUAGGAAUAGCAUGAAAAUCCCACAAAAGCAACUUACUCUGAUUUUCUGCUGAACUAAGCGCAUCACCUCCUGAGUCUGUAAACACCUCUGAGUCAUUUCUGAUUAAUCUUUGAGGGUCAUUUGUUCAGCACAGGGAAAAUGAUGCAUGAAGUUAUUGAAUGCUUAGUGUUACAGAUGCUGUUCCCAUGGAGAUCAUUCCCAGCAACGGCACAGUCUCACCCAAGAAACGGACUCUGACUUGAGUCCUUAUCUUACUUUUGUUCAUGAGAAGAAUUUGAAUGGCAUGUGCCAACAGAUGUGGUUUGAAGCAGCCAGAAGACACACCAAACAAAUUCAACUUCUUCCAGGUCUACGACGAGCACUGGCCUUUUGCCUCAGGACUCUUGUGCUUUCCCCUCUGCCUGAGAAAUUGCUGAUGGGGCUGUGAGAUAACCAGAACUUCAAGACUCAGCUAGGAUUUUGCACAUCCUUUGUUGGGGCAUUCUUCCAAUCUGCUUGCCACAAUGGAUACUGUUUAAGAGGAACUUAUCCUAGAGAAACUGAUAUAGAAGACUAUCAAGUCUAAGCAGAGACCCCCAUGCUUGCUUUUCCCUCUGCAAGGGGUUUGUGGUUCUGCAUAGAUGUACAAACUCCUAUGCAAAAAAAGACCUCUUUCAAGAAGGCUCCACCUAUGGUGAUCAAAGAAAUAAAGGCAAUUUAUGUUUCCAUUUUCAAGUCUUCUAAGUAAC
ensembl:lncRNA